AUACCAAAUAUUAAUAAAGAAUAUUUUUCGUUAAAAGAUAGGUUUAUGCAGGAUUAGGUUGUUGGUAAAGUAAAAGCUUACCAAGCCGACGAUCCUUAGCUGGUUUGAGAGAACGAUCAGCCACAUUGGGACUGAGACAAGGCCCAAACUUAUAAUAAGGCAGCAGUGGGGAAUAUUAGACAAUGAGAGAAAUCUUGAUCUAGCAAUACCGCACGGGUGAAGAAGGCUGUAACAGUUAGGUUGUAAAGCUCUUUCGUUGAGGAGGAAAAUGACAGUACUCAAAAAAGAAGUUCCGGCUAACUCCGUGCCAGCAGCCGCGGUAAUACGGGGGGAACAAGUGUUAUUCGGUCAAAUUGGGCGUAAAGGGUCCGUAGGUAGAAUUAAGAAAGUUUAAAGUUAAAUACCAAAGCUUAACUUUGGAAAAGCUUUUUAGACUAUUUUUUCUGGGGUAGUUUACGGGAUAGU
rnacentral:rRNA from 1 species